AUACGGAGGGUGCAAGCGUUACUCGGAAUCACUGGGCGUAAAGGACGCGUAGGCGGAUUGGAAAGUCAGAUGUGAAAUCCUACAGCUUAACUGUAGAACUACAUUUGAAACUUCUAAUCUAGAGUAUGGGAGGGGGAGAUGGAAUUAGUGGUGUAGGGGUAAAAUCCGUAGAUAUCACUAGGAAUACCGAAAGCGAAGGCGAUCUCCUGGAACAUAACUGACGCUAAGGCGUGAAAGCGUGGGGAGCAAACGGGAUUAGAAACCCUAGUAGUCC
rnacentral:rRNA from 1 species